AUAAAGGUGAGGCUCUCUUGAGGGAUUAGUGGUCCUUCCUGAGACAGUCACCUGAAGGCAGAGUGAGAAGGCAGUCAACUGCAAGCCAGGAAGCAGGUCUGCAUCAGGAACCAAAUCUGUUCCCACCUUGAUCUUGGACUUCCCAGCCUCCAGAACUGUGAGAAAAUGUUGUUGAAGCCACCCAGUCCACGGUGUUUUGCAAUAGCAGCCUGAGCUCAGACACAGAGCCAGGAAGUAACCGAGAGCCAAGACUCAAAAUCUGCAUCUAUUCAUACCCAAGCCCUUCACCACAGAAAUACUCCGUUUAUCAUUUUUAAUGGCUGCCUAACAGUUUGUUGGAUUGAAUUUUCAUGAUUUACCCUAACCUGAACUUAAGCCGGCAGAUGAGGAUAAGGCUCCCCAGCCUCCCGGAACAAGCAGACAGUUAUUAAUGGAAAUGUUCCACCAGUUCAGAGAAAGACAUGGUGUGACUUAACACUGAAGUCAGGAGCAAGGAAGAAGAGGAAGAGGCAAAAAGAAAAAUAAAGUCACAGAUCUGUGGGCAAGGCAGGAUAAAUGUGGUAUACUUUGCUUGUGGAUUUCUCCUAAUAUUAGGCUGUCACUGAAGAAGUCAGUAAACACACCUGCAAUACCCUUUGUCUCUGAAGACCACUACCUUCUUGGAGUAAAGGCAGAAUUGCAAUUUUAUUUUUUAAUUUGUAUUUAUAAAGAGAGAUGAGAGUCUCACUAUAUUGCCCAGGCUGGUCUCAAACUCCUGGCUUCAAUACAUCUUCCCAUCUUGGCCUCCCAAAGCACUGGGAUUACAAGCAUGAGCUAGCGUGCCUGGCCCAAAUUGCGAAUUUUAAAGAAAUUCCUCUUGCUGCAUGAAAAACCAAGCAAAGAAGAACAAUGAUUUAAAAAAAGAAAAAAGAGAGAGAAAGAGUUGGAGAGAAAGCUGUUGAACUGACUGCAGUUCCACCAAGCCAGGGGUACUUUAGUGAAUGGCAGGGAACCAGAGCCAUGGGGACAUAUCUCUGCCUCUCUUUGUAUCUUGGUGUGGCCUCAAGUUAAAAAAAGACAAUUGUUUGAGAAUGAUGAAAAGUGUUACUGAUAGGAACAAAGCAUGAAGAGAUUUGACAGAUGUUCACAUAAGCCAAGACAGAGUUCCGCUUGAGCCAUCACUUCUCAAGGACAUCAGGAACACUUCAGUAGCCAAAAAUGUUCUCUUCCAGUUCUGGCUGACAAAGAGUCAAUGAUCUGGCAGCUGUGUUACUUGCAGUUGUCACAUCCAGGUUUCAUGAUAGCAACUCACUGCUAUUUGGAGGAGAUGCAAGCUCCCAUGGAGGCUGCAGCUGUUGCACAAGCCAGCAGCUUACCUACUGAGUGGUGUCAGUCACGAAGCCUGUCCUCACUUCUGGUGAUUCCUAACCCCUUACAGCUACCAAGUCCAAUUCCAGCCUUUACCUGGUGUAAUUAAACACUCUAAUGAAGAAGACGACUUCACUGGCUUAUACAGAGCCCUGAGCCUGCCUAAGCAGCCAUUGUUUAGAAUGCUCACACCCCACUUAGAGUAACAUGAAACACGAAAUAUCAGAAACAGAUCAGAAAAAGAGACAUUGGACAUUUGUAUUAGAAAAUUUAUCAGUUUACAAAUAAUUCACAGUAGGAUUCCUUUAACUUAUGAACACCC
rnacentral:lncRNA from 10 species